AAUUAGAGUGAAUUGAAAUGAAGAAAAGGGGGAGAAGAAUUAGGUAGCCUCCAUUUUGCAAAAAUAUCACUCAAACUCUUACUUUGCUAAUUGAGAGUUUCUUCUUCGUCAUGAAGAAACUCUAAAAUUUUCUUUGAGUUGAAGCACCACCAAGCAAUAUUUUCCUCAUCAAACCAAGCCACACCUUUGUUCAUCACCUUCUUCACCAUAACUUUCUCCUCAUCUUCACCAUCAUUUUAGCUGCAUUCAUAUCAACCUAUAUCAUAACCAAACACAUACCUCCAACAUAAAUUAAACAUAAUCGAUUAGUUGAGUAGGGAGUAGAAAAGAAACACAAUCAAGUGGAGAAGAGUCAAAAUUGUGUUUACCUAGCUCGCCGGAAACUGGGUUUGGUCGACGAAAACUUCUUCAGGCCGCCAAAAAAUUCAUCAGCAAAUUCAACCUCGCCGGAAAACUCACUAGAUUCUAGAAAAUCCAAUCUCGCCAAUUUGGUUAGGUUCAUGUUUAUUUCUUAUUCUUUCUCUGAUUAAAUCAUUCAUGUAUCAAUUACACACCAUUACCUUAUGAUUUUACAUGCUACACGCGCUUGAAUGUAACAAACCGGUUUGAUUUUUGAUUUACGGUUCUUGUGGUUUGAACUUGCUUCCAAAAAUGAGUUUUGGUUAGAUUUAUUUGUGUUAUGUUGAUUUUCUUUUGAGAGAUUGAGAGAGUUUAUUUUAUUGUUGUGUUGGAAUAUUGAAUUUGAGAUGAAAGAAAUUAUGAGAUGUUGAAAUGUUGUAUGUUUUUGGAAAAUUGGAGAUAAAGAGAGUUUGUUUGUUUUUCCAAAGUAUAAGAGGUGACCACCUUACCCCCUAUGUGCUCUGCCUCCCUUUGUUUUUUUUUAAAACUAGGUUAGACAUUUUUUGUGUUUUGGAAAAUGGGUAUUGGAUUGGGCCUGAGGCCAUUAAUUCAUUUCUACGCUCGUCCUUUACUUCUUUCCUCUGCAUGUUAUUUGUUAUACAAACUCGGCCUUAGGCCCGAUGGAUUUCUAC
rnacentral:lncRNA from 1 species